AUUAAGCAUAUGAGUAGGUGGUGGAAAACGAACUAACUGGGAUUCUUCAAGUAAUGGCGAAUGAACUUAGAUAUGCUCAAUUUGAAAAGUUCAGUGACACUGAGUUGACAUGUAAUUUCAAAAUGUGUAACCAAUUGGCAUGCGCGUGGAAGCUCAUUGAAAGAAUGCGUCGAUGAAGGUGAAAAUCCAGCCUACCACUUGUAAUGUGUUGUUAAUGGUGUAUAUUUCAUGAGUCACAUUCCUUGGCAGUGGAAUGCAAUAUGGGUGGUACACUUCAUGCAAAGAUUAAUAUAUGGUUGAGAUUGAUAAUGCACAAAUACCGUGAGGGAAAUAUGAAAAGGACUUUGGAAAGAGAAUUAAAAGAGUUUGCAGUUGCUGAACAAAAACAAAUAGGAUGUUGGUGGUUAAUCAGAUUGUUGUGGCGUGUGCUGCUUCAAUUGUAAGCAUGUGCGCAAUCAAUGAUUCUAUUUUGCCAACCAUAUCAUUCUCUGUGCAUCAUGGCAUGAACGGGUGACGAGUGUUUUUUGUGCGCCACUGUCAACACCUGUGUGCAAAUGGUAUAGCAAGUGUGCACUGCAUUUGGACGUCGUAUGUUGCUUGUGUCAAGUCGUAGUUGGAUGACCAUUUGUGCUGAGCUGUGAUCUACCUUCUGCAUGUGUAUGCUGUUGAUCAUAUCCUGAUUGACCCGUCUUGAAACACGGACCAAGGAGUCUAAUAGAUGUGCUAGCUCUCAAAUUCUUAUCUUGUUGGAUCCAAUGAAAUUAGCUGCUGGGAUAUGUGCACCAGCAACCAAGUGAUUGGUGGUCAAAGCCUUGCGUUUGAGCAUACGUGUUAGGACCCGAAAGAUGGUGAACUAUGCCUGAAGAGAAUGAAUUCAGAGGAAACUCUGACGGAAGUUCGCAUCAAUACUGACGUGCAAAUCGUUUGUCAUACCUUG
rnacentral:rRNA from 1 species